ensembl:misc_RNA Metazoa_SRP Metazoan signal recognition particle RNA
GCUGGGUGUGGUGGCGUACACUUGUAUUCCCAGCUACUGAGGAGGCUGAGGCAGAAGAAUUGCUUGAACCCAGGAGUCGGGGCUGCAGUGAGCUGAGAUCAUGCCACUGCACUCCGGCCUGGGCGACAGGGUGAGACUCUGUCUCAA